rnacentral:rRNA from 1 species
UGGGGAAUUUUGCACAAUGGGGGAAACCCUGAUGCAGCGACGCCGCGUGAUUUAGAAGGCCUUCGGGUUGUAAAAAUCUUUUCUAUGGGAAGAAAAUGACAGUACCAUAGGAAUAAGGACCGGCUAAUUACGUGCCAGCAGCCGCGGUAAUACGUAAGGUCCGAGCGUUGUCCGGAAUCAUUGGGCGUAAAGGGUACGUAGGCGGGUAAGCAAGUUAGAAGUGAAUUCCUAUAGCUCAACUAUAGUAAGCUUUUAAAACUGCUCAUCUUGAGGUAUGGAAGGGAAAGUGGAAUUCCUAGUGUAGCGGUGAAAUGCGCAGAUAUUAGGAGGAAUACCGGUGGCGAAGGCGACUUUCUGGCCAUAACCUGACGCUGAGGUACGAAAGCGUGGGUAGCAAACAGG